rnacentral:pre_miRNA from 1 species
ACAACAUUCGGACCGUCGGUCUACCGAGCAAUAUCACCCGCUCGGUGGAAGACCUUCCCUUUGUCGU